rnacentral:tRNA from 1 species
GCGGUCGUGGCGGAACUGGUAGACGCGCAGCGUUGAGGUCGCUGUGGGGUAACACCCGUGGAAGUUCGAGUCUUCUCGACCGCACCA